GUUUGUGGCUCAGUGGCAGAAUGCUUGCCUCCCACAUGUGAGGCACUGGGUUCAAUCCUCAGCAACACA
rnacentral:tRNA from 1 species